rnacentral:misc_RNA from 1 species
CUUGAAUCAAGUGCUCACUACAGUGCUGAUUUUGGCAAGGAAUAAGCAUGUGGGUGAAUGCCAUGGACCAAUUUCAAUGGUAUGAUAGCGCCAGAUGCGGUCUUUGGUUUUCUGUACCAUUUGAGUUUGUUUAUUCUGUAUUUUAAAUUAUGUAAUGCAGCCAACUCUUUCUCUGAAAGCAGCUGCAUUUCUUGUGUUUUCAUUCUCAUUAUGUUUUGUUGAAGGAUUGGUAGAAUAGAAUACAAUGGAUGUUUAUUUACUGGUUUUUGGUUGCUAUGU